UCUUGCGUUAAAGAGUAUUUGCACAAGAUCAUGCCAAUGUAGACAUAGCCCAUAUGUAAUUUCUCCACCUCUGCAGAAGGUAGAAGCUAUGUCAGCAGAGGAGUGUCUCUUGCUGACCAAGCAUAGUGUAGAUAAUGCUUUAUAUUGAUGUAACGUGCAUCGCUCAGACAUGCCUUUUACAUACUACUGAGCAUUGUAACUUACAUUAACUGCAGUAGUAGUGUAGAAAAGCCCUCAAAUAUACUCUUUGGUGCUAUUCGCUAAGGGUAAGUCUACACUUGCUCCCUAGUUCGAGCUAGGGAUGCAAAUGUAGCCGACCUUAAAAAUGAGUAAUGUUAGCCAAGGGAUUUGAUUUGAACUAAUGCGGCCCGGAGCGCACUUCCUGGUUCGAAUCAGCUGUUGAGCGGAAUAACGCACGGACAAGAUUAUACUAAUGAAGUACAGGAUAUUUAAAUCCCCGCUUCAUUAGCAAUUUUGGUCAGCUACAUUUGCAUCCCUAGCUUGAACUAGGGAGCAAGUGUAGACAUACCCUAUGAUUUCCACUUUGUGAGCAGCAAAGGCUAGCAGUGCAGAAAUUAGUGUUGCCUGGUUCCUGGGACUGAAAAGUUCCCAACUUUUUUUUUUGGUAGGUUUUGGGCCUUUUCUCCCUACUGAAUAUUUCCACAAUCCAUUAAAUCUAAAAAUCCAAUUCUCAAUGCCUUCUUUAAAAGUGUGACACUUGACUGGAAAUGAGCAAUGAGUCUGGCACUCACUGUACUUUGGAGUCAGUCUCAUAAUUCAGUCAAAGGUUGCACAGCUAACUUAACAUGUCUAUCAGUAUUAUGUAUUUAUAUAAAGUCCCCAGCAGUAAUCAAGACUUUUGUAAAGGCAUGAAGAUUGGACAAAGAAAAGAUUCAAACACACUUAAGAUUUAGCUACACUCUUCGGUUGGAUUUUCAAAUGAGUGUAAGGGAGAGGUGCUAAAAUGCCAUUACUAUUAUUUGAAAAUCCCAGCCAUAGUUUCCCUUCUCUAGCCCCAUUUUCUUCAUAUUGGGAAAGGGAGAGGUUUAAAAAUAUGAACAAGUAGUAAGAUUUACUUUCAUCUUAAGUUUUUAAAAGAAACUCCAACCUGCUUCUAUUAAACUUAUGGAUUUGAUUUUUAUUUUUUUUAAAGAUUUGAUUUUAACCUGACCACUUUAUAAAAUACUGAAUUUGUUUAUAACAGCCUGAGAAGUUUGAAAAUGCAGUUCUUGUCCUACCAAACUUCCUUACAUUUUGGUAACCAUUACCUUUCUCUUCUGUUUGUAAUAGAAUUUAUUCUUAUACAUCAAUAUACAUCUUAUACAUCAGUGCUCAAGCAUCAAUUGUUCUCCUUAUUCAAGGAAUAAUAUUUAACUACUAGUAUCGAACAAUAAGAGGGGACUCAAUCAUGUUUCAGAUACUAUACAUCAAACAUGUUUUUAGUUGGUAAAUCUAGAUAUGUAUAUAAUAAUCUGCAAGGUUCUUUAGGUCCACAUGUUGGUGUAAACACUUUAACAGGAUGCUUUUAAUGGAUUUAAAUCUUGAUAGGUUUAAAAAGGUCAGAAGAAUUGUAUAGAAAUUUUAUAUGCUAGGAAAAAAAUUGUUUUUACAUUUGCCAAUGUUUUGAUAUUAGUGAGCAAUGCACAUAGAUAUAGCAAACUAGUAAAAUUAUCCUGUUUAUUUUAAACUACAUCAAAUUCAGCACUUUGUAUAUAGCCUGGUCACAAACAGCUGCAAAAUUAUCAAAUGAAUAUUCUAUUUGGUGUACUUUAUUUGCAGCACAACAUUUUCCUUUCUGGUAUAUUUGAUAGUUGGCCAUUGAGCCUGUGGGCAAAAAUAACCAUUGAGGUCUUGUCAGAAAUAAAUUAGUGGCCGUGUCUGAGAACUAGCUGUAUCGCAGGCAAUUGGAUUUGUUAUAGCAAGUGUCUUCAUGUUAAAAUACUGUAAUAUUAUUGAUAACUCUUGGAAUGUUAGUUCUCAUUAUUAUGCACAUCAGUGAAAUGAGCUGGACUCACCCUUUGAUACAAUUUGUACUUAAAGUAAAUAUUUAAUAUUUUUUUCCAACAUUGUUGUAACGUUGCUAUUUUAUCACAAACUACUGUCCUUGCCCUGUGCUUUUACAUUUAUUGUAAUGCCUAUAUAUGUUCUUAAUCACUGUCCGUGGGUUUUAACUUGCCAAAAUUUGAUAAGAUUGACAGAAGAAAUCAAUUUUCUCUCCUUCCCCUUUUGUAUGAUAGCCCAACAAACUUCAGACACCAUACCAAUGAGUGGAAUCAAUGGCUAAAUAGUGAACAUUAUCACACCCACUUCCAUUUUCAAAAAAUCUUGUUAGCCAUGAAGUGCCAAUUCUUAAGCAAAAAGGGUCAGCUUUAGGGAAAAUGUAUAUGGACUUACGUUAGCAAAAAGACAUGCUCUAUAAUAUUGGGAAAUUUCAUACUACAAAAGUUGCUGCCAGUGCAGCAGCUGCUCAAGGUAAUAUGGUAACGAAGUAUUUGUUCUUCUAUUUAUGAAUUACUUGAUUUUGAUACUGGGCAUCUUGUUUUACAAAAAUUGCAAACAUUUAUAAGAUUAAUUCUUAAGAAAAAGGUCCUUUCGAAGAAAUAUUCCUAUUUAAAACAUUUGUAAUGGAUUUAAGCUAUCUUGCCUUAGUAAAAUGUACAGGAAAAUGAAAGAAAAGACAUGUAAUUGUUGAGCAGCAUUGCUUCUCAGGCUUCAUUGUUUUUAUGAAGCUUUAGCUGCCAGCUAUAUGUCUUUGAUGCACAUAAGACGACAAAUCACACUAUGAAGAUGUUUUUUUCAAAAUUGUUUCCAGAGGUAAACAAAUUGCAUAUUGAAAACUAUACUCAAAAGAAGCAUAACUAAAUUUCAGUCAUGCCAAUAGUCAGAUAUAGGGCAUCCCUAUGGGAGCUGUAGAGCCUGAGGCAACCCCUCCAACUUAUACCCCUUUUCCACCCCCUUACCUUGGGGUGCUAGCCUGGGACCUGGCAUGGGGUAGCAGCAGGGUUUGCUCCUUCUCCCUCACAUUUACCCUGGUGGCUGCAACCAGAGUAGCAUGACAGCCUGCUUAGCUUUGUCCCGCCACACUUCACUUCUCUGGGACAGCAAGAAGAGGAGCACUUUGCUUGCUACUGCAGGGAAGCCAAGUGCAGCUGGCAGCAGAGAAGAACAGCUUGCCAGGCCCUCCAGCUCCUGCAGUCAUGAUACAGGCAACCCCUGCUGCUGCCCUGCACCAGACCCCCCAGGUAAUCCUCUGAGCCCUGUGCAUAGAACGGUUGAGGCUGCUGCCAUGGGGCCCUCAAAACAUGGAGACUGCCAGCCACCCUGAAAGAUGGCACUGGUCAGAUGCACACAAAUCCUGCUUUACAAAGAUUCAUAUGAAAGAGGGAGAGGUUUCAGUUCUUUGGGUAUCUAGUACUGCAUUGCAUCUGAGUCUUUGCACACUGGAUCUGUUUUGCAUUUUAAAGAGUUUUAGCACUUAAUUUGUAGGUUGGAAAGCAUCAAUCUGUUUUACAUAAUCUUUUAAAGAGAAUCAUUUAAGGAACCACCACGACCCUGGUAAAAUUUCUGAUUUUCAGAGAAGUCUAACUUUCUAUGAAUUAGCUAGAUGAAAAUUAGCUUUUUAAACUUUCUGUAUUGCUAGAAGGGAAAAGGCAUUAAUAUUUGAAGAAUCGCUGGUAACCAGACCUUUCUUUACACUUUGAACUACUUAGCCUGCCAUAGCUUAUGUAUGAGACAAGAUGGGUGAGGUCAUCUUUUGUUGGACCAACUUCGGUUGGUUGUCCCUCUCACCAACAGAAGUUGGUCCAAUAAGAGAUCCUACCUAACCUAUAUUAUCCUGGGACCAACCUGGCUAUAACAACAGUGCACACAACAACUUGUCUAUGUGAACAGUCCCUGAGAACUUAAUCUGCAUGAAUUGAACUGAGUUCUAACUGCCAAUCUGUUUAAUGCAAGUUGAAUUUUGGUAAUCAAAAUUCCUUCCUAAUUACUGGUGUAUAAAGGACCAUUUACUAAUUAUGGGCCAAUCUUGGUCAUCUUACUGGUGUAAUUCCAAUUAAAUCAAUGGGGUUAUUUGUGAGUAAGAGAACAAUUUUUCAGUUUUUUCUAAACCAUUUGCAGAAGAGCAUAGAACAAUUUGUGAGGAUUAAAGUUGGAGUAACUGUUCAAUAACUGCUGUAUUUAGCCAGGCCAUAUUUAUCUACAGUGGACACAACCUUUCAGGUAUGGAAACAGGAUCAGAAUGACACUAAAAUUUAGUCUACAGAUACGUAAAAUUGUUUUUAAACAUUGCUACAACAAAAUUACAAUAACCACACGCACAAACACACACACCCAAGCUGAUUGAAUUUGAGAUGUUAGUCAGUCGAUACCAAGUUAUCUUUCCUAGGUUUCACACCAUGCCAGCAGAGGUAUAUAAUAUUCAUAGGGUAGAUACAAUGAAAGCUUUUUAAAAGUUACAGUUCACAAUGCUGUUAGGACAUGCAUUUGUGACUGCUGCUCCUGCAAUGUAGCAUAUUAUCUAUAUAUUGAUACAUUUGUAAUCCAGUCCUCCAAUAUGCAUUGUUCAAACUAAACUCAUAACUGAAUUGUGCUUAUUUCAUAAACAAAUUAUUCCUGUACAGUUAAUUUUAUAUGUAAAAUAAGAUUAAACACUUUUGAAUGAUUGUGGAUUUUGGCUCUUGAGAACCUAAUUUCAUGAUACAACUUUGAUACAUGCAAAUGUUGCAACAAUUAAAAAAUUAUUGGCAUCAAAUCCCACAACUUUUUUGAAUUUACUUUGUGUUUGAGGUGUAAGUGCGGAUUUUUAAAAGCCCAUUUAAUCCCUCCAGUGUUAAAUUCUGGAGGCUAAAUUGUUUAAUGUACAUUUUAUCAUGCACUGAUAUUUCAGGAGGAGUACAUUCAGCUCCUUUUGGUAUUCUGUUUUAUAUGAGUUCUCACACACUGAUCCUUGACAGAUUUAUGCUCAUAUGUAAAAGUCUUCAGCAUUGGGACCCAAGAGAGAGAGAGUUCUCUGUACAGAAUCCAAAGGUAUGAUUUAUGAACAUGUCUGGAGGGCUGGGGUUCACUGGAGUUUCAUGGUGACAUUAGCCUUUCAAAGGCCAUCUUUCAUUAACUCCCAACAAGCAACAAAUGAGUAGUGUAGUAAAAACUGAUUUUAUCUUUAAAAAACUGGUGAAGGUGUAACUUCAAUCCACAACAAAGUCCUAAUUAAAACAGUUUUGGUCUUUAAAUUCAACCUAGUAGGCCUAAAUAUUCUGGCCCCUCUACUCACUAGGAAUUUGUAACAUGGUUAUAUCUGGUCAAAAUUGCACUAAAAUGGCAGUCUCAGGCUUAGCUUUUGUGCCUUUCUGUAGUUUGAGUUUUUAAAUAAAAAAGCCAAAGUUUGCUGUGAUUAAAAUUUUGUAUGAAGUUUUAGCCUAAGAAAUGGAGUUACAACCAAAUAAGUGAACUCUAUAAAUAAAGUGAUAGACCCACAAGUAUAAAAUUUAAGAUGUUUUUUUCUUAAGCAAUGGAGAAAAUCAUAAAUGUCCUUUUAAUGGUAAAGCAAUGCUGACUCCCUAAAAUUCAAUUAAACAUUAAAUCGAUAGUUCUCAAGCUCUAUCCUCCCAUGGAUCCAAAAACGGCUUGCCAAUGGUCCCUGGAGAACUUAGUAGUUGAAUGACACUAGGUCCUCAUUUGCAAGUACUAAAUAGCAUUUAAAAAAGUAAAAUACUUUCUCAUGUUUCCAAAUAAGCUAUUGUAAUUUUUCCAUAGGGAUUGUUAUUUGAUAGUAAAUGGGGAGAUAGAUGGUCCGCAGUGUAGUAAUUUAGAAUUGCUUUCUUAAUGAUAACUCAUUUGCUGUUUUAUCUGCUUCUAUACAGCUGAAAACAUAAUGUUGACCGUUUGUACAUUUGUUAAAUAAUAAUUUAAGGUUUUUCUGUUUGGUACCAUACUUUGAUUUCCAGCCAUUUAGUACCCUAGAUUCCAAUAGAAAAAGCUAACCAACCCAUUUUGAUCUUAGUAUGGAUAUUUGUGGGUGUGGCUAGACAAAGCAGAUAAACACAUCAGAGAAAAUUAUCAAGGUCUGCAGAGUUGAGUUACUCCCUUUUCUGAGCUUUAGCUUUCAGGUAUGUAAAUAUUUUUAGCAAUGGCUACAUUUGAAAGAAACAGCAAAAUUGCAACAGGGUUCAUGAGAUUGAGAUCACAUGAAGUGGCAUGCAUUAAAUACAGAAUUCAUUUAGCUAAAGUGGCUCACAAAACUGGCAUACUGUAUUUGGCACAGUUAACCAUCUGUGAUGAUGGUUUAAUCUUUGCCAACUGAAAACUGAAGGUUCUGGGCACAUUACACUAUUGUCUACAUCUACUCAAGCUAAUGGGAAUGUAGGCCCCUGUACUAUAUUGCUGCUUGAUCCAUAAGGCACUGUGCAUAUUACAUUACCCUUGUGGAAAAUGCAUAUUUUGUAUUUGUAAUACAAAAUAAAAUGCCUCACUAAAUUAAGGGUUAAUUAUAAUGAAUGGUGAUGUUAAAAUUACAAUGAAUUUUAACAUAUCUUGACUUUUCUAUUGUACAUCUUAUUUCAUUUUAGUUAACAUACAUUAUCUAAAUUAUUUUAGAAAUAGAACUUUAUUUAGGACCAAAGAUAUGUUUAUGCCAGAGUAUCUGUUUAUAAACAAGAUAAAACUGUCCCAUAUAGUUAGAAAUUACAACUUUCUCUGCAUUUGAUUUCUCUCCUUUUUUUCCACAGCUAAAGAAUUAGGUAGUUUCAUGAUUGUGCCAUACUUUUAAUGUAUCUACACAUGUGCUUAUGUAAUAAAUGUGUACCUUGUUACAGUCUCACUCACUCUGACCUAUUUUUUUCCCUAACUUAAAAAAAAAACUAACAGCUGUUUGAGAUAUGUUGCUCAUGUCCAUUCCAAUGUGUGUAUGCACACUGUAUUCACAAUCAUUGGAAAACUUUUCCUCAGCAGAACCCAUUGGGUCAGUUCUGGCACCCCACGGUGUCAUGUACAUAUACCCCACUGACCCAACUCCCACUGUGUUACUUCUUGCUGGAACAAUCCAGCAGAGGGAAGGCAGGAGGAUCUGGAAUGGACAAGAGCAAGACAUCUUGAAGAACCAUAAACGGUAAAUAACUAUUCUUCAAACGAUUGUUCAUAAGCAUUCCAUUAUGUGACUUACCAGCAGUUUGUAUGGAGGAGGGGUUGGACCUUGAUUCAUUGCUGAGUGUAGUACAGCUUUGUGGAACAUUGCAUCAUUCUGUGACUGCAGCUGAUGGCAUAAUGAGGCGGGAAGGUGUACAUGGAGGACUACGUAGCUGUCCAGCAGAUGUCCUGAUCUGGAACUUAUGCCAGAAAGGCUGAUUAUGUGGUUUGCACCCAAGUGGGAUGCACUGUGCUAGGCAAGCCCAGCAUCUUGGCCAAGUUAGAGUAUGGCCUGAUACACAUAGUGAUCCAGGAUAACAGAUGCUGCAGUGAUGCAAGCAGGAGAUUCAUGUGCUCCACAAUAAACUACUAAAAGUUGUCAACUUGUGAAAUGCCUUAUGUGGAGUAAAGCAAAGGAACAUCUCCUAUCCAAGGAGUGCAGGGCCCUAUUCCAGUCCCCGGUUUGGGAGGGAAAAAAACAGGGAGAAAAGUGUUCUGGUGGAUGUGAAAAGGCACCACCACCUUUGGCAGAAAAGUAGAAUGGGGCACAUUGCUGGUUUGCACAGCUGCCCUUAUACUUAAACACAAUAUAUGGAGGCCUGGAAAGAAGAGCUUGCAGCUCUGAAACCAGUCUGGGGGAAGUAAUAGCCAAGAGGUAGGUUAGAGUGGAAGUAGUUAGGGGCUCAAAUGAGGGGCUGAGAGCACACCAAAUUCAAGUCCUACAGCAGCAAUGACUGCCUCAGAUGAGGGUACAACUGAUCUAGACUUUUAAAGACGUGACUCACUGCUAGGUCCCCUAAGAGGGACGGACUUCACUCCUGAAGCUGUGUGGAAAGUUGACAGUGUUGCCAGGUGUACUUUAAUGGAGGAGCAGGGGAACUGUGACCUGCUGGUGGGUACCUUUAUUUAGGCACCACCAGGAGAACCUCUUACGUUUGUGAUAAGUAGAGGGCUUUCAGCUGCCCCAUAAGUCUUCCCUGAGGGUCCAAACACUGGAGUGCAACACAGUUCAGCCAUGGAGCUUCCACACCACUAGGUGGACCAUCUCCAGGUUUGGGUGAUGCAGUUGGUCAAACUCCUGCUUCAAGUGAGGAACCAGAGGGAGCACCAUGGAAGUGGCCACCACCAGGGACAGCAAUGUGGCAAACCAGUAUUGCUGUGGCCAUGUUGUUCCUAUAUUAUCACAUGGACAGGUCCACCUGGGGAUGGCUUCACUCUUAGAAAAUGGAGAGAGUUACAGAUGCUCUGAGGGACCAUACUUGGGGGCCAAGGACAAUGAGGGUUGGUUUUUUUGCCUCUUACGCAUGUGGCCUCGCAAUACAAACAAGGUCCUUCCCCCCACCCCUCCCCUAGUCCAGUCACUCCUACUUCUAACUUACAGAGACAUGCAAGGAUUAAAUGGAUCCUGGAUGCCAAAUGUAGGUCUUGUUCCUUAGGACUUCAAAAAAUACCUUUAACUCCUCCCCUCAGCUGAAAUGUGGAGUCAGAGACAAACUAAAAAUAAAACAAGGACAUUUAGGGCUCCUGUUGAGAUUUAUCCUACAUCCUUUUAAGAAAAAAAAGUGAUUCUUCACAUUCAUGAAAUCAGAGAGAACACAAUUUUUUUAAAUUGCUUGCAUAAUAUCUGAUAUUUUAAUUAAUUUACAUCUUAAUUUAAAACAAAUUGUCUCCUGGAUACAAGUUACUGAGUUCUGCUGGUAGCACUAUAUAACCUCGGGUCAGUGACUUUUCCUUUGACUGCAAAGAGAUGGUUUGUAUCGACUGUCAGCAAGCAAAACCAUACUGUCUCUUAUGUAGCCUAUUUAUUGCAUUGCCACACAGGAACACACGGCUUGUAUUGAAAACGUGUCAGUUUUAUUCUUCUUUGCCCCAUCAGAUGGAAAGUUCCAAAAACUUACCAGGAACUAUACAGAAUAUGAAGGUUUAUUUCAAAAGAAUACAUUUGGAAGAAUACACAUAGAUGCACUCAAUGUAACAGUACCUUCUGCAAAAAUAGGUUACAUAAUACCCAGAAAUGCAACAACCAACCUUAUUCUCUACAAAUUAGAAAGCAGGUUUUAUAGCCUGAACAACCUUCAAAAUGGAGGUUACUGUUGUGUAUAUUCUAAGUAGCUAAGUUUAAAGCGUGACACCACAGAGCUAAUGCUGGUAAAUUAAACUACUAGCACACAGCUGCACACUAUUCCUUUAUAUUUAUACAGUGUUCACAAAUAUUUUGGUUCCAACUGUUUUGGAAAGCUCUAGUGCCGCAGGGAAAAUGCUUAUCAAAGAUACACAAAAACUAUCCAAAAUUACAACGCAACUAUUAAAAAUGCCUCCAAAAUUCAGAGGGAAAGUAAUCAUGUUAAAAUUAAAAAAAG